rnacentral:rRNA from 1 species
UGAGGAAUAUUGGACAAUGGGCGCAAGCCUGAUCCAGCCAUGCCCCGUGCAGGAAGAAGCAUCUAUGGUGUGUAAACUGCUCUUGUACGGGAAGAAACACUCCUACGUGUAGGAGCUUGACGGUACCGUAAGAAUAAGGAUCGGCUAACUCCGUGCCAGCAGCCGCGGUAAUACGGAGGAUCCAAGCGUUACCCGGAAUCAUUGGGUUUAAAGGGUCCGUAGGCGGUUUAGUAAGUCAGUGGUGAAAGCCCAUCGCUCAACGAUGGAACGGCCAUUGAUACUGCUAGACUUGAAUUAUUAGGAGGUAACUAGAAUAUGUAGUGUAGCGGUGAAAUGCGUAGAUAUAACAUGGAAUACCAAUUGCGAAGGCAGGUUACUACUAAUGGAUUGACGCUGAGGGACGAAAGCGUGGGGAGCGAACA